rnacentral:rRNA from 1 species
UACGAAGGGGGGCUAGCGUUGCUCGGAAUCACUGGGCGUAAAGCGCACGUAGGCGGAUCUUUAAGUCAGGGGUGAAAUCCCAAGGCUCAACCUUGGAACUGCCUUUGAUACUGGGGGAUCUCGAGUCCGGAAGAGGUUGGUGGAACUGCGAAGUGUAGAGGUGAAAAUUCGUAGAUAUUCGCAAGAACACCAGUGGCGAAGGCGGCCAACUGGUCCGGUACUGACGCUGAGGUGCGAAAAGCGUGGGGGAGCAAACAGG